rnacentral:lncRNA from 12 species
GAAACACUUGCCUCACAGCUCAAAAGUUGCCAUUUGUUAUUGUGCCAGGACAGAGUGAUGUCCAGACUCAGCAAUCUGUGAAGGUGUCCUGCACCCAAGUUGCUGUCAUAUUAACUGUGUGCCACACCUCUGUCCAAU